UUCCGACCGAUGCAGCCUCCAAUCUCUAUCUUGCAAUAUAUGGCGAGCGGCCUGGGGGAAAACGCCUCGAUGGCGGGGCGGAAGGAGACUGCCUCGGAGAUGAAGGCGGAUAAGAAUCCCUAUCCCUUGCAUAUGGUCGUUGACGACGAAGAAGAUGAGGAUGCUUUGGCGCAGUUGUUUCUUGAUAAUGACGAUGGCGAGGAGGGGUGUGCAGCUGAUCUGUUUGGGAACUGUGGGGUGAUCUCGGUGCUAUUUGAGACGCCCUCUGGCUUUACACCCUAUGGCUUUGCAAUCUUCGAUUAUGAUGCGGUCAAGCUCACUGAACCAGAUGCCUGGCAGCAUAUCUGGGCAGAUUUCGUCAAUGUGCAAAACGCAGUUAUUUGGGUGAAAGCCUUCAAAACUUUUGAGUACAAACGCUACGCCAUUAAUAAGAAUUCUGUUAGUCCAGAUCUUAGUUCGAUGAUCCAGAAGCAUGUUCUCAAUGGGCAAACACUAGCUGUUGGAAAUGAGGAUUACAAAAAUGUCAUUCAGGAUAGAUUGAGAAUACCCUGCGUGUACAGUCGUGUUGUCAAGGAGUUAAUGUGGGGCUUGAUGAUUCAGAUCCAGCAUUUUCUGCCUGUGAUAAAUUCUCAGAUGAUUAAUGAGGAUCGCUUCCCGAUGAGUGAGGGGAUGAUAUUUCUCCUGGAGCACCAUAACUUUGACAUCAAUCCACAUAUGAUGGUUACUAAACGUAUUAUUGAGAUGGCAGGCAUCUUAUAUGAGUGUGAUCGUUGUGUGAAAAAAUAUGAUACCUUCUUGCGCUUAGCUGCUCAGCACCUUAUGAAAAUAUCUCGCAUUAACACUUCUCAUUGGGAUUUAAUGAAACUUGCGACCGUAUUCAAGAUGAUAUGUGACCCUGAAGAUGAAAUUUCAGAUGCCAGACGGCUGUUCUCAGAACAACUGUUGAAGAGGUUGGCGAGGAUGCACCUCGAUAUCAAGAUAAAAUCUUGAAGGAUCCUUACUCUGAAGUUUAUAAAGAAAUGUUCUCUGCCCGAAAAAUGAGGCUUGAGGCGGGUAGAGUGUUGGUCAGUUUGCUUAAGCGGGCCAAAAAAGCAUAUGAAGAUGAACAGGCAGGCAAAGCUGCAAGUGACCAUGAAAUUGGUCCUGACAGGAAGAAGAUUUGUCGUGGUUUCGUCCCUGUCAUGAUUGAUGAACUUACAGAGUGGCAUACCGUGCUUUCAGAAAAAACGUAAAGAAAUACAGUGGAAUUUGAUAUUAGUGGAAGCUACCUUGCCAUUGGUGGUUCUGGGACAAGAGAAAGUAACUUGUUUGAAGUUUGGAGCCGAUGCUAGGUACAUCGCUGUAGGUUCAAUGGAGCAUAACCUACGGAUAUUUGGGCCCCCAAGCUUGUUUUGUUAGUAUCUUAUUAUUACGGCAACUCGCUAGUGAUUCAGCCAGUGUACUUUUGGCGAUCACAUUUUGAGUUGCUAUUUGUAUGUUAUCCCUUCUUUUUGUGAAGAAUGAAUUGUAAACUAGGGGCAGCUAAAAAGGGGCAAACUGUUUGUAGAGGUAGUGUCGGGGCUGCAGGGAACCGUCCUGAUGGUUGCCUGGGCCCUGGCUUAUUUAUUUCUAAACAAUCCUAAGAACCUCUUGAAUGUUUAGCCUGUUGUUUUUCGGAGAAGAAACGACAAUGAAUGUU